rnacentral:rRNA from 1 species
GAUGAACGCUGGCGGCGUGCCUAAUACAUGCAAGUCGAGCGAACAGAUGAGUAGCUUGCUCCUCUGACGUUAGCGGCGGACGGGUGAGUAACACGUGGAUAACCUACCUAUAAGACUGGGAUAACUUCGGGAAACCGGAUCUAAUACCGGAUAAUAUAUUGAACCGCAUGGUUCAAUAGUGAACGACGGUUUUGCUGUCUCUUAUAGAUGGAUCCGCGCCGCAUUAGCUAGUUGGUAAGGUAACGGCUUACCAAGGCAACGAUGCGUAGCCGACCUGAGAGGGUGAUCGGCCACACGGGAACUGAGACACGGUACAGAAUCCUACGGGAGGGAGCAGUAGGGAAUAUUACGCAAUGGGCGAAAGCAUGACGGAGCAACGCCGCGUGAGUGAUGAAGGUCUUCGGAUCGUAAAACUCUGUUAUUAGGGAAGAACAAAUGUGUAAGUAACUAUGCACGUAUUGACGGUACCUAAUCAGAAAGCAACGGCUAACUACGUG